GACAAACGCUGGCGGCGUGCAUAAAACAUGCAAGUCGGACGAGCCAAUCCCCGCAAGGGGAAAGGCUAGUGGCGAACGGCUGAGUAACACGUAGGUGAUCUGCCCUGAAGUGGGGGAUAACGACUCGAAAGAGUCGCUAAUACCGCAUGUGACCAUCGAUUCGUUUUCGAUGCUCAAAGUCGUAAGACGCUUUUAGGAGGAGCCUGCGGCGGAUUAGCUAGUUGGUGAGGUAANGGCCCACCAAGGCUUCGAUCCGUAGCUGGUCUGAGAGGAUGACCAGCCAGACUGGGACUGAGACACGGCCCAGACUCCUACGGGAGGCAGCAGUUAGGAAUUUUGCGCAAUGGGGGAAACCCCUGACGCAGCCACGCCGCGUGCGGGAUGAAGGCCUC
rnacentral:rRNA from 1 species